UCCAGCUCCAAGAGUGUAUAUUAAUACUGCUGUAGUUAAAACGCCCGUAGUAAACCUAAGAGUGUUUGCGGGGUAACUAGUUCCAGCUCCCAAUAGCGUAUAUUAAAGUUGUUGCAGUUAAAAAGCUCGUAGUUGGAUUUCGGAAGGUCCUUAGCAAUCCGCCCCUUCGGGGAGCGGGUUGCUGGCCUCCUAUGUUCCUAACGGYCCUCAUCCGCGAGGGUGGGGAAUCAACCGCUAGGAUCGUUUACUUUGAGGAAAUUAGAGUGUUCAAAGCAGGCGUAACUCGCCUCCGAAUACGUUAGCAUGGGAUAAUGGAAUACGACUUCGGUCUUGUUUCGUUGGUUUCGCUUGGCUGAAGUAAUGAUUGAUAGGGACAGUUGGGGGCAUUAGUAUUUAGUUGUCAGAGGUGAAAUUCUAGGAUUUACUAAAGACUGACCAAUGCGAAAGCAUUUGCCAAGGAUGUUUUCAUUAAUCAAGAACGAAAGUAGGGGGAUCGAAGACGAUCAGAUACCGUCGUAGUCUCUACCGUAAACUAUGCCGACCAGGGAUCCGGAGAGUUUGCAUGGAUGACUCCCCGGGCACCUUGUGAGAAAUCAUAAGUGUUUGGGUUUUGGGGGGAGUAUGGUCGCAAGGCUGAAACUAAAGGAAUGACGAAGGACCCCCRGUUC
rnacentral:rRNA from 1 species